rnacentral:rRNA from 1 species
GAUGAACGCUGGCGGCGUGCCUAAUACAUGCAAGUCGAGCGAACGGACGAGAAGCUUGCUUUUCUGAUGUUAGCGGCGGACGGGUGAGUAACACGUGGAUAACCUACCUAUAAGACUGGGAUAACUUCGGGAAACCGGAGCUAAUACCGGAUAAUAUUUUGAACCGCAUGGUUCAAAAGUGAAAGACGGUCUUGCUGUCACUUAUAGAUGGAUCCGCGCUGCAUUAGCUAGUUGGUAAGGUAACGGCUUACCAAGGCAACGAUGCAUAGCCGACCUGAGAGGGUGAUCGGCCACACUGGAACUGAGACACGGUCCAGACUCCUACGGGGGGCAGCAGUAGGGAAUCUUCCGCAAUGGGCGAAAGCCUGACGGAGCAACGCCGCGUGAGUGAUGAAGGUCUUCGGAUCGUAAAACCCUGUUAUUAGGGAAGAACAUAUGUGUAAGUAACUGUGCACAUCUUGACGGUACCUAAUCAGAAAGCCACGGCUAACUACGUG